rnacentral:lncRNA from 1 species
UCGCCUCAUACGGGCUUUUACUUUUCAUCACUAUUUCAUUUUUUUUUCCAUUUCAUACACUUUCCACAAUUUUAAUCCUUUCUUCAUACAACCAUGAUGCUAAUGAAUGCCACCAUUCCAAAAUUUAUCAAUAAUUUCAACAAUUCCAACAUUCCCCAAUAAUUUAAUAAAAUAAAAUUUCCAAAAAUAUCCCAACAAAUUUUCAAAAAUUCGCAUAUCAAUAAACUUGAAAAUAUACCACAUUUUCAGAAUUUUUCAACCAUUCUAAUAAUUUCCAAUAUUCGAAAUUAACUGAUUUUCCACCAUACAAAUUCCGAAAAUAUUCCAACCAACUC